ACGCUAGCGGCAGGCCUAAUACAUGCAAGUCGAGGGGUAUAUUUCUUUCGGGAGAUAGAGACCGGCGCACGGGUGCGUAACACGUAUGCAACCUGGCCACUACUGGGGGAUAGCCCGGGGAAACUCGGAUUAAUACCCCAUAACACACUGAAAUCGCAUGGUUUUAUUGUUAAAGAUUUAUCGGUAGUGGAUGGGCAUGCGUCCGAUUAGCUAGUUGGCAGUGUAACGGACUACCAAGGCGACGAUCGGUAGGGGGUCUGAGAGGAUGAUCCCCCACACUGGUACUGAGAUACGGACCAGACUCCUACGGGAGGCAGCAGUAGGGAAUAUUGGGCAAUGGAGGCAACUCUGACCCAGCCAUGCCGCGUGCAGGAAGACGGCCUUCUGGGUUGUAAACUGCUUUUAUCAGGGAAGAAAACGCUCCUGCGGGAGUAACUGACGGUACCUGAUGAAUAAGCACCGGCUAACUCCGUGCCAGCAGCCGCGGUAAUACGGAGGGUGCAAGCGUUGUCCGGAUUUAUUGGGUUUAAAGGGUGCGUAGGCGGCUAAUUAAGUCAGUGGUGAAAGCCUGUAGCUCAACUAUAGAAUUGCCAUUGAUACUGGUUAGCUUGAGUUCGGWUGAGGUAAGCGGAAUGGAUAGUGUAGCGGUGAAAUGCAUAGAUAUUAUCCAGAACACCGAUAGCGAAGGCAGCUUACUGGRCCGAUACUGACGCUGA
rnacentral:rRNA from 1 species